UUUUAUCCCCAUAAUAAUAUAUUUUAUAACUUCUGUUUAGAAUAUUGGCAGAUAAUAAAACUUGAUUGCCUGAUUUUCAAUUUAAACACUUAUCAAUCAAAUACAUAAGUACUUGUUCAGGGUAGAGAAAAGUUAAUACUUUAUAUUAUCUAUGUAACUCUGAAAGACAAGAAAGUUUCUGUACAUUUACGGACUACAAAUAUAGAAGUUAAAGGAAAUGCCUUCUAGCUGGCGUAAUCUUAGGAAAAAAAGCAGACUGAAGUAUUAUAAAUUGUUAGCAGAAGAUGUGUAAAGAUAUGAUCACCUAGAUAAUAUAAAUCAAUUUUCUAUUCUUGUGCUGAAGCCUAGACCCCACACGGCAGCCUGAUGUAAUUCCAUUAACAUGCUUAAUUACUUGGCACUUGUAUAGCCUUUUUAUUUUUACUGUUAUCCUGGUAAAUCAUUCAGAAGAAAUAAAUUAGCUUGCCACUCAAAAUUAACUACUAUGGUGCAUUGCUGCCCCACCCCCCAAAAGAUGAGUUGACAGCUACUGGGCGUUAAUCUAGCCAUUUUUUGAUAACAGAGUAUCUCUUUGCGCAUAGUUAUGAUGAGAGGUAUAAACAUUCCAAAUGUAAUUAUCUCAGUCCUUUACAACUUGAAAGUCUAAUUAAAGAAAGUUUAAGACACUAUAAAUCUUAAGGAAUUAGGUUUACGAUGUGGAACCCAGUCAGUCAGAGCUUGGGAUUACAUUGGAAAGUGAGUAUAUUGAAAAGGAUUGCAGAAACAUUUCUCUCAGCCAGAAUUUAAUUGCUCAGAAAACUGAAUUUCAGUAAAGUAGAUGAAAAGUGGUAGGCAGAGAGACUCAGACCUAUGACUGCUGAAGAAAGAGCUAAUUCCAUGUCCCUUUUUCUAGAUGCCCUGUAAUACACUUGUGUCAGUGAUAAAUGCUGCUUUGCUGUGCUACACCGAGUACAAGGUAGUGAUAAGACAUGACUGGGAAGCAGUUACCAGAGACAAGCAAGGAUAGGGCUUUGAAUGCAUCCUCUGCUGGUGGCUUCUGUAGUUAUGCAUAAAAUUUACUCUGACCUGUUUACUUUUAUAGCCUGUCUUUACUUUGUUUCUUUUAAUAUUAUACAUGUUUAGGCUAUGCUUUUUCUUUAAAUAUGUGAGCAAAUCUAUUGGUGUAAUGUACUCAUUACCCUAAAACCUAUAUUAUAAUGGACCCGAAUACCAUAAGGUAGAAGAUCAGAAGAAAAAGAAAAUGCAUACAUUUUUAUCUUUAAAACAAUUCACUUUUAAGAUUAUUUUCUUGAAAGGUAUACGUUUGAUGGAGCUGAAUCUAGUUCCUUCAGGCAGAUAUAAUAGGAUACAAUAGGAUAGGACUUCUUGGGUAAAAAAGGUGUAGUAAUCUGUGAGACUCAUGGGAAGGAGAAAGGAAAUUAUUAAUUAAUUUGGCUGAGGCCAGGGUAGUAAGCAGAUUCAUUAUAAAUUCUGGCAGCAGAGGAAUACUUGAGAAAUGCUUAUAAAGUUAGAUCAUCUAUUUUUCCAAGCAAAUUCUUCAUGUCAUUCCACCUUGUAAAAACUUUGUGGAAAAGAAUAAGCACAUGAAUGAGCAAUGAAUAGACUUUGCAUUAGAUUGGUAAUCUUGCUACUAGUACAUUAAUUUACUUGUAUUACUGAUAUUUUAAGAUAGGAUUUUUACAGAUGUUUAUAUAUUUUUUAAAAGCCUAUUUUUUUCUUUACCCAUUUUCUCAAUUUUUUUAACCUCGAAAACUUUUUCCUCCCUGAGAGAAAUACAUGGGCUAUCUUCAGCAUAGAACACAAACUCUGCCUUCUUUUCUCAAGUCCAGUGAUUCAAGUUUGACACACCACACCACGGUGGAUGUGCCUUGUCAUGACACAUCUCAGCAGCACUAGAAGAUACAUCCAAAGUCCUGUGAGCAAGGUCUGUGGUAUCUGUUUAUUAUGGCAGCCCAGUAAGACUAAGACAGGCCAUCACAAGACGUGAACGUUUUGGACCUUCUCUUGGGCCCUAGUAAACAGAAAUCAGAAGGAAGAAAACUUUGCUAAUGCUCUGCCAAGCCUCACUUUUCUCUCAUGAUUAGAAGGUUUGAUGUUAUCCAGAAUUACUCAUGGAAGAUGGAAGAGCUGCAGCAUUACAAUGAAAGCCAUCUUACAACAGCCUGAGCUAUUUAUUAAACUAAUCCACGUUCUGAACAGUUAUUGCUACUGGAAACCAGUCCCGAUCCAGACCACAAAAGACGAUUCUUGGAUCUUGCACAAGAAAGAAAGGCAUGAGGCCCUCACCAGAUACAGCCACCUGAUCUUGGACUUCACAGCCUCCAGAAAUAUGCCCUGGAAUACACUUGUGUCAGUGACAAAUGCUGCUUUGCUGUGCUACAUCGAGUACAAGAGAAAUACAUGGGCUAUCUUCAGCACAGAACACAAACUCUGCCUUCUUUUCUCAAGUCCAGUGAUUCAAGUUUGACACACCACACCACGGUGGAUGUGCCUUGUCAUGACACAUCUUCUCAGCAGCACUAGAAGAUACAUCCAAAGUCCUGUGAGCAAGGACACAGCGAGAAGAUGGCUGUCUACAAGCCAGGAAGAGAGUCCUCACCAGAACCAAACCCUGCUGGACUUUGAUCUUGGACUUCCCAGCCUCUAAAACUGUGAAGACAUAAAUUUCUGUUGUUAAACCCACACAGGUCUGUGGUAUCUGUUUAUUAUGGCAGCCCAGUAAGACUAAGACAGGCCAUCACAAGACAUGAAUGUUUUGGACCUUCUCUUGGGCCCUAGUAAACAGAAAUCAGGUACGCAAAAGGGGUAAGCAUAUAAUUUCCUUUAUUUUUAUUUUUAAUGUGUAAGCCUUAGGUUUUUAUUUAUUUAUUUGGUGAAGACAAUCACAUUGUGUACGUACAAUGUAAUUAUAUUGUUGACGAGAAGUUACUUAAAAUUUUUUAAAAAUUCUAAUCGAUUUCUAGAUGUCCAAAUGAGAAGAUAGCAUUUAUAUACCAUCAGAACAUAAAAUAAUUCAAAAAAAUAAAUUUAUAAAACAAUAUGUAUUAUAUUGAGAGAAAGAGAGGGAGAGAGUAUUGGAAGAAUAUAUGCAAAUACAAUGUGAUAAUGUGAUGUCUUUGUGAGAAUGCUAUAUGUCAUUUUCUUUGUUUAUAUGAAUUUUUACAAUUUUUACCUUUGAAAUAUAAAAAAGAGAGAAUAAAAGUCAUUGAAAAAAUCAAAAGUAACUAUUUUCAUAGGUGAGUAAGUAUACAUCUUUAACAGAAC
rnacentral:lncRNA from 1 species